AUUGAACGCUGGCGGCAUGCUUUACACAUGCAAGUCGAACGGUAACAGGCCGCAAGGUGCUGACGAGUGGCGAACGGGUGAGUAAUGCAUCGGAACGUGCCCAGUCGUGGGGGAUAACUGCUCGAAAGAGCAGCUAAUACCGCAUACGAUCUAUGGAUGAAAGCGGGGGACCGUAAGGCCUCGCGCGAUUGGAGCGGCCGAUGUCAGAUUAGGUAGUUGGUGGGGCAAAGGCUCACCAAGCCAACGAUCUGUAGCUGGUCUGAGAGGACGACCAGCCACACUGGGACUGAGACACGGCCCAGACUCCUACGGGAGGCAGCAGUGGGGAAUUUUGGACAAUGGGGGCAACCCUGAUCCAGCAAUGCCGCGUGCAGGAAGAAGGCCUUCGGGUUGUAAACUGCUUUUGUACGGAACGAAACGGUCUGUGUUACUACCCUGGGCUAAUGACGGUACCGUAAGAAUAAGCACCGGCUAACUACGUGCCAGCCGCCGCCGUAACAC
rnacentral:rRNA from 1 species